CCCCAUCUCUUCACCCAGGUAAAUUUUUAGUUACGAGGACGUAACUCCUUUUUUAAGGGGGGUAGAAUUCAUAUUGGUUUAGUGCAUGUGUGAUUGAAUGAAAGUUUUCUGAUAAACUUCGAUUUGUUUCAGUCCCUACUUGUUAUAUUACAAUGAUUCCUAUGAUAAAGUUUGUGAGUUGUCUUUAGAAAUAAGAGUAUAAGUUUGAUCAUUUGAGUAAUACUUUAAGUUUCGGGACGAAACUUAUUUUAAGGGGGGUAGAUUGUAACACCCCGUAUUUUAUACCCGAUUAAUAAUUAUUUUUGCUGAAAAUAAUUUCAGAUUUCUUUUUUUUAUAAUAUUUUUUUUUACUAACUUUGACUUUACCUUUGAAGUGGUUAAAAAAAGAAAAAAAAAAACUGAUUCCUAGAUUUACUAGGUUACUAUCUAAUACUUAUCACUAUAUUAGGAGAGAGAAAGUAAAAAAAAAAAAAAGAAGAAAAGAACACAAAGCAGAAGAAGUUCUGCAAUCUUCUCCUCUAACCUUCGUGCAGCAUCCUAAUUCUAAAAAAAAAAAAAAAUUCAAUACUCCAUCAAAGCUACUACUUUUCUCUAUCAAUCAUCAUCAAACUUCAACUCUUGUUCGUCGGCUUCAAUAUCUUUUGGUUUUGGUGGGUGUUUCGAAGAAGAAAAUUUUUGGGUUAUUGGACUUGCGGUUUUCGGAUCAAGAGGUCGAGAUUGUUGGGUCCCUUAUAGUGUAAUUUCACUCUUAUUACUUCCCUUAAUCAAAUUGCGGGUUCGUAGAGGAACCUUUUUGACUUGAGAUUGAGAUUUGCUAACUUUGAUUGCUGAUAAGGGACUUGAAGAUAGUUAGCUCCAGUUGGGUUAAAGAGUGCGUUGGAUCCUUUUUGAUUUAAUAGGACUUUUAAAAAGACUUCCGCUGUUAUUUAUUUAUAAGAUUUAUGUUCUGGUUUGUAAUAAUUAAUUUUACAUUCUAUUUAGUUGGUCUGUAAUAAUUAGUUAAAACUUUUGGUUAUUGUUUUAGUUAGAACCAUUAGCCUUGCGAUUAUUAUUAAUAAUUAUCGCGGCGUAGCACCUUUGGAUUUC